rnacentral:rRNA from 1 species
GAUGAACGCUGGCGGCGUGCCUAAUACAUGCAAGUCGAGCGAACAGAUGAGGAGCUUGCUCCUCUGACGUUAGCGGCGGACGGGUGAGUAACACGUGGAUAACCUACCUAUAAGACUGGGAUAACUUCGGGAAACCGGAGCUAAUACCGGAUAAUAUAUUGAACCGCAUAGUUCCUUAGUGAAAGACGGUUUUACCGUCACUUUUAGAUGGAUCCGCGCCGCAUUAGAUAGUUGGUAAGGUAACGGCGUACCAAGGCCACGAUUCCUAGCCGACCUGCUGGCGUGAUCCGCAACGCAGGUACUGAGACACGUGCCAGGGGCCUGCGGGAGGCAGCAGCUGGGAACCUCCCGCAUGGGGAGAAACCUUGCCGGAGGCACGCCGCGCGAGUGAUGACGCUCUGCGUAUCGUAAACCUCUGUUAUCAGGGCAGAACAAGUGCGCACGUAACUAUGCCCGUCUUGACGGUACCUAAUCAGAAAGCCACGGCUCACUCCGU